rnacentral:rRNA from 1 species
CCUACGGGAGGCUGCAGUGAGGAAUAUUGGUCAAUGGACGAGAGACUGAACCAGCCAAGUAGCGUGAAGGAUGACUGUCCUAUGUGUUGUAAACUUCUUUUGUCAAGGAAUAAAACGAGGCACGUGUCCCUGUUUGCAUGUACUUUAUGAAUAAGCAUCGGCUAACUCCGUGCCAGCAGCCGCGGUAAUACGGAGGAUCCGAGCGUUAUCCGGAUUUAUUGGGUUUAAAGGGUGCGUAGAUGGGUUGUUAAGUCAGUUGUGAAAGUUUGGGGCUCAACCGUCAAAUUGCAGUUGAUACUGGCAGUCUUGAGUACAGUUGAGGUAGGCGGAAUUCGCGGUGUAGCGGUGAAAUGCUUAGAUAUCACGAAGAACCCCGAUUGCGAAGGCAGCUUACUAAACUGAGACUGACAUUGAUGCUCGAAAGUGUGGGUAUCAAACAGGAUUAGAUACCCGGGUAGUC